rnacentral:rRNA from 1 species
AUUGAACGCUGGCGGCAUGCCUUACACAUGCAAGUCGAACGCGAAAGAGGGGCAACCCUUGAGUAGAGUGGCGAACGGGUGAGUAACGCAUCGGAACGUAUCCAGUAGUGGGGGAUAACCCAUCGAAAGAUGGGCUAAUACCGCAUACGCCCCGAGGGGGAAAGUGGGGGAUCCGCAAGGACCUCACGUUAUUGGAGCGGCCGAUGUCCGAUUAGCUAGUUGGCGGGGUAAGAGCCCACCAAGGCGACGAUCGGUAGCUGGUCUGAGAGGAUGAUCAGCCACACUGGGACUGAGACACGGCCCAGACGCCUACGGGAGGCAGCAGUGGGGAAUUUUGGACAAUGGGGGAAACCCUGAUCCAGCCAUGCCGCGUGAGUGAAGAAGGCCUUCGGGUUGUAAAGCUCUUUCGGCCGGAACGAAAUCGCAUCCUCUAAUACGGGGUGUGGAUGACGGUACCGGAAGAAGAAGCACCGGCUAACUACGUGCCAGCCGCCGCCGUAAGAC